GGCUUAUUCGUCUAGUGGUCAGGACUCAAGAUUUUCAUUCUUGCAACAGGGGUUCGAUUCCCCUAUAGGCUACCA
rnacentral:tRNA from 1 species